rnacentral:rRNA from 1 species
GUCUAUAUUAUUUUUUAUAUUUAGUCUAACCUGCCCACUGAUAAUUAAAUGGCCGCGGUAUUCUAACCGUGCAAAGGUAGCAUAAUAAUUAGUUUUUUAAUUGAAAGCUUGUAUGAAAGGUUGGACAAAAAAUAAACUGUUUUUAUUUUUAAAUUUUAAUUUUACUUUUAAGUUAAAAGGCUUAAAUAUUUUAAAAAGACGAUAAGACCCUAUAAAUCUUAAUAAAAUUUAUUUUAAAAAUAUUAUUGUGUUUAAUAAAUUUUAUAAAUUAAAUAUAUUAAAUUGGGGCAAUAAGAAUAUAAAUAAAAUAAAACUGUUCUAAAAAAAAAACAAAAAUUUUUGUGAGUUUAAAGAACCUUUUUUAAAGGUUAGAAGUUUAAGUUACUUUAGGGAUAACAGCGUAAUUUUUUUUGAGAGUUCUUAUCGAAAAAAAAGUUUGCGACCUCGAUGUUGAAUUAAAAUUUCUUUUAAGGUGCAGUAGCCUAAAAAGUAAGUCUGUUCGACUUUUAAA